CUGCCUGUCUGCUUCUCUCCUGUCAGAGCUGUUCCAGAACUCAGAGUGGAAAGAUAGGGCACAUGAGCUCCAUUCCAUACCUGACUUCCUCUGAUGAGAUCCAUCCACAUCCUUCCUCAUUAUUAGUCACACAGGGGAGCAGGCCUCACGUGGCAGCGUGCAGCUCUCCAGUGUCUUCUAUGAUUUAGCAUUUCCUGUCUCCCCUUGACUCAUGUUUCAGUACCUCAAUGCACCAUAGGAAACUAGAAAGAGAAAGAACAGAUGAAUCUAAAAAGCAGUAAAAGAAAGGCUGUACUGCUUCCAAGAGCCAGCAAAGUGUCUGACUUCUGUGGAGAGCUUGCCAAAUAGACAGCCAAUGGGUGCAAGCCCCAGCUGCUCUGCGAUGGCAGGCUAACAGAGUAUGGAUUCAAAGGCAACUCUCAUAAGAGGAGGUACCUGGAAUCUUUGGGACUAUAAAGCCUAACCCCUCCAAACUGCAAGGUCAGGAGAUCUUCAGGAGGUCCUGCUGCUGCUUAAGAAUCCGCCUCCAUAAGAGUGUUCUCCACCAGAGCUGAAUCAUCCAGGCCCUGAGGGCUGCCACCAGCAGGGCGCGACGCACCAGGGUGCCGCGCCACCAGGCCUGGAUCUUCUCAGCCGCCUUGACUCUUGCUCUGUGGCGUUUUCGAUAAAGCUGCUAACCAAGCAAAGCAGAGGACUCCACAUGAAUUUGUUAUGAACAAGUCUGGUGUCUGCCAUGAA